AAGGAUAUGGUAGGAGAGCGUUCUGUAAGCCUGCGAAGGUGUCUUGUAAAGGAUGCUGGAGGUAUCAGAAGUGCGAAUGCUGACAUGAGUAGCGAUAAUGCGGGUGAAAAGCCCGCACGCCGUAAGCCCAAGGUUUCCUGUUCAACGUUCAUCGGAGCAGGGUGAGUCGGCCCCUAAGGCGAGGCAGAGAUGCGUAGCUGAUGGGAAGCAGGUUAAUAUUCCUGCACCGUCGUAUGAUGCGAUGGGGGGACGGAUCGCGGAAGGUUGUCUGCCUGUUGGAAUAGGCAGUUCCUGGUUCAUAGAAGGCGCUUAGGCAAAUCCGGGCGCGUAAUUCAAGGGACUGGGACGAGGCACUUAGGU
rnacentral:rRNA from 1 species